ACCCCCGCACCCGCGCGAAGGAGACCCCGCACGCGGCCGGCGCGCCGCACGGCCUGCCGGGAAACGUAGUCCCCUACACCCGGGGGCGGCGGCCCAGCGGCCGUGGUGCUCGGACGCGGCCGUGGCGCUCGGACGUGUCCGCAGCCCGCGCCCUGCCGCCGUGACCUCCUCUCGCCGGCGGCUGGGGACAUGGGCCAAUGUCACGGGGCCGUCUGCGCGCCGCGGGCACUCACCAGGGGAGAAACAAGAAGGCCCGGAGUCUCCCGAGCAGAACUCUAAUCCCUACGAGUGAACCAGCGGGGCCGCUCCCGGGCCUCCCUUCUGCUGUCCUGCCAGAGAACGUGACCAGAAUCCUCAGCCCCACGCUGUGCCCGCCUGAGCCCGAGAGAGCAGCUGAGCAGAGUCACGUCCAGCCACAGGUUGCGCAACUCAUGAACCUGCCUUCCAGCUGAGCAAGGUCCGGCCACUGCUUCUUCUCCCACGACUUCCACAUCCUCACACGGCUCUUCUUCAGUCUUCAAGUUACUUUCAUAAAAAGAAGAGGCGCGAGGAUUUGCAUCUUCCCCGGUCCCUCGCUGCACCCCUCAGCCCGGGCGGUCUCAGCGACAUUGGUAAACCCCAGGGAGCGUGGGGGCGUGUUAAAGGGAACUCUGCACGCUGGCCCACUGGGGAGCGGAGGACGACUGUCCUUACUCCUUAGCUUACUUUCCCGAUGGAGUUUAGGGCUGUCUCACUAGGAAAUAACGUGGAUAAGAUCACAGGUUGAAAUUGCGAUUUUAUUUCAAAAUGAUAAAUAACCGGAGGCAUAGUUCUGACAUGGGCUACUUCUGACAGGCUUGGGAAGUUGGACAGUUCCAGGAGGACUCCAGUCAGACCCAGGAUGACACCAGCCGCACCUGAGACUGGCAGAGGCGGCCUCUUUGAUCUUCAGGAGUUCUUAAAAGCUCUCCACCCUACUGUCUGAGUGUCAUAAAAAGUAAAAAGCCA